CACCGCCCGUCACACCAUGAGAGUUGGAGGCACCCGAAGCCGGCGCGCUAACCGCAAGGAGGCAGCCGUCGAAGGUGAAGCCAAUGAUUGGGGUG
rnacentral:rRNA from 1 species